UACGUAGGGGGCAAGCGUUGUCCGGAUUUAUUGGGCGUAAAGAGCGUGUAGGCGGCUUGGUAGGUCCGCUGUGAAAACUCGAGGCUCAACCUCGAGAUGUCGGCGGAAACCACUUGGCGUAGAGUCCGGAAGAGGAGAGUGGAAUUCCUGGUGUAGCGGUGAAAUGCGCAGAUAUCAGGAAGAACACCAAUGGCGAAGGCAGCUCUCUGGGACGGUACUGACACUGAGACGCGAAAGCGUGGGGAGCGAACAGG
rnacentral:rRNA from 1 species